rnacentral:rRNA from 1 species
AUCUAUACGGUGAACUGCGAAUGGCUCAUUAAAUCAGUUAUCGUUUAUUUGAUAGUACCUCACUACUUGGAUAACCGUGGUAAUUCUAGAGCUAAUACAUGCUAAAAACCUCGACUUCGGAAGGGGUGUAUUUAUUAGAUAAAAAACCAAUGCCCUUCGGGGCUCCUUGGUGAUUCAUAAUAACUUAACGAAUCGCAUGGCCUUGCGCCGGCGAUGGUUCAUUCAAAUUUCUGCCCUAUCAACUUUCGAUGGUAGGAUAGUGGCCUACCAUGGUGGCAACGGGUAACGGGGAAUUAGGGUUCUAUUCCGGAGAGGGAGCCUGAGAAACGGCUACCACAUCCAAGGAAGGCAGCAGGCGCGCAAAUUACCCAAUCCCGACACGGGGAGGUAGUGACAAUAAAUACUGAUACAGGGCUCUUUUGGGUCUUGUAAUUGGAAUGAGUACAAUUUAAAUCCCUUAACGAGGAACAAUUGGAGGGCAAGUCUGGUGCCAGCAGCCGCGGUAAUUCCAGCUCCAAUAGCGUAUAUUAAAGUUGUUGCAGUUAAAAAGCUCGUAGUUGAACCUUGGGCUUGGCUGUCCGGUCCGCCUCACCGCGUGCACUGGUUCGGCCGAGCCUUUCCUUCUGGGGAGCCGCAUGCCCUUCACUGGGUGUGUCGGGGAACCAGGACUUUUACUUUGAAAAAAUUAGAGUGUUCAAAGCAGGCCUAUGCUCGAAUACAUUAGCAUGGAAUAAUAGAAUAGGACGUUGUGGUUCUAUUUUGUUGGUUUCUAGGACCGCCGUAU